AUUAUUUUAAGCUAUAUAUUAGGAGUAAAUAAAAUUUAUGAAAUUAAAAAAUUUUGGCGGUAUUUUAAGCUUAUUAGAGGAAUUUGCUCUGUGAUGGACACAACGCCUUAAUCUUACUUAAUUUAGUAAUUUAAAUCAGUUUGUAUACCACUAUAUUAAUUAUAUUGAAUAGUAAUAUUUAAAAUUUUCUUAAAAAAAUAUAUUAAGUCAAGGUGCAUCUAAUAAUUAUGAAUGAAGUGAAUUACAUUAAUUUUAAUGUAAUUUUUUACAUGAAAAAAUUAAUUAGGAUUUAAUAGUAAAAUACUAAUAUUAUGAGUAUUUGAAUCAAGCUCUAAAAUAUGCAC
rnacentral:rRNA from 1 species